GAUGGUGCAGCUGAUAAAGUGCUUGUCUUGAAAGCAUGAAGACCUGAGUUCGAUUCCCAGCACCCAUA
rnacentral:tRNA from 1 species